UAGCUUGCUAAUGAAAUUCUUAGUGGCGGACGGGUUAGUAACACGUGAGAAUCCUACCCUUGAGUGGGGAAUAGCCUUUCGAAAGGAAGAUUAAUGCCCCAUAGUCUCCACGGAGUAAAGAUGCCUUCGGGUGUCGCUUAAGGAUGGGCUCGCGGCCUAUCAGCUAGUUGGUGAGGUAAGAGCUCACCAAGGCAACGACGGGUAGCUGGUCUGAGAGGACGAUCAGCAACACUGGAACUGAGACACGGUCCAGACACCUACGGGUGGCAGCAGUCGAGAAUCAUUCACAAUGGACGAAAGUCUGAUGGUGCAACGCCGCGUGGAGGAUGACGGCCCUAGGGUUGCAAACUCCUGUCAUCAGGGAGUAAGACUUAUUCGUUAAUAGCGUGUAAGUUUGAUAGUACCUGAAGAGGAAGGGACGGCUAACUUCGUGCCAGCAGCCGCGGUAAUACGAAGGUCCCAAGCGUUGUUCGGAAUAACUGGGCGUAAAGCGUGUGUAGGCCGCGCGGAAAGUCGGAUGUGAAA
rnacentral:rRNA from 1 species